ACUUUUAUAGCAAAAUAUUGCAAUAGAUUUAGAUUCUAUACAUAUUCAC
rnacentral:tRNA from 1 species